rfam:Parcubacteria bacterium GW2011_GWF2_46_8 TX66_C0007, whole genome shotgun sequence.
UGGGGGAUCGUCUAACGGCAGGACAGCGGCCUUUGAAGCCGUGAAUCUAAGUUCGAUUCUUAGUCCCCCAG